GGCAGCCGCCCUCCUUGCCCAGCGGCGCACCUGCCCUGCCCGCCCCUACCUUGUUGAGGUACUGGAGCAGAGAUUCCCCUGCAGCCUAUGGUGCAGAUGAUGGUGAGGCAGCUGUCCCUCAAUGGAUAUCCACUGUGGAGCAGAUAUCCCAUGGAGGACCUCACCGUGGAGCAGGGGGAUGCCUGCAGGAUGCUGUGACCCUGUGGGAAGCCUGUGCUGGAGCAGGUUCCUGGCCUGCAGCCCAUGGGGAGGAUCCACGUUGGAGAAGUUCUUGAAGGACUGUCUCCUGUGGGAGAGACCCCAUGCCGGAGCAGGGGAAGAGCGUGAGAAAUCCUCCCCUGAGGAGGAAGGACUGGCAGAAGCACGUGAGGAACUGACCAAAACCCCUUCUCCCCAUCCCCUUGUUCUACUGGAGGUGAGUAGAUGGAGAAUUCACAAAUAAACACGAGCCUGGCAAGAUGGAAGUGUGGAGGGAAGGUCAGCUGUUAUCCAGAAUGUGUUUUCCAUUUUCUCAUACUGAACUUCUUUGAUACUCUGCACCCUCUUUAUUGCCAUUCCCUUGAUUUAUUUUAUCAUUUCUGUCAUGGAUGAAGAAAAUUACACAUCAUAUUCAAGAUGUGGGAC